ensembl:lncRNA
GGGGAGGCGACGGUGGCCGCGGGGUGGCCGAGGCUCACCCCCGCGCAACGGAACUGUUGGUGCGCUCCGACGGCGCGGAAGCCUCCGCCGAGCGCCGCCUUCUGACAGGCCUUUUUCUGGGGAUGCAGAAUGCCCAUGCCCUGGAUUCUUUGGUGGAGUUUUACUAACCACAGGAGUUGCUACCACCUCUCUGGGCAGCCUUUUCCAGAGCUUCGUCACUCCAACAAGCUCCACAGGGCUAUGUGAAGAAGGCUUCCAAAGGAGAGAUCACGUCUAGAACCCUCCUGUAGAUGGAUCACAGGCUGUUGGGCAUGUUGAAAAUGCUGUUGCGUUGGCAGACAAGCUUUGGCAAGCUGCUUCAUAGAGGCUGAAAGGAGGUUUUGCUUCCAGCUCCACUCCUCUGCUGGAAUUACUGUCUGCACAGUAAUGGGGGAAUGCAGACCUUUGACUUAGCAGCUCUGGUGCAAAGGGUAAAACAUUCACCUUUGCUAAAGGUUAAAACUGAAAUGCUUUUCUGGCAGCAUAGGUGAAUUUGCACUAAAACAUCAAACUGAGUAGAAGAAAGCGAAGCACUUGAUUCCUCCUGCUGCUCUGGUGGUUGGGAAGAUGGGAUGGAAAAGGUGAGCGGUCUUCCAUGAGGUGCAGCACAGAAGGGUGAGAAUGGCAGCAUUUGAAAUUGACUCAAUGUAACUACUGGUGCUGGUAUGAGUGACUGGCAAAUGACCAUAGUGAUUUAUGUGGAUUAUUAAGUGUUGAUAAAGAUAUUAUGUCGAUAAAGAUAUUAAGUGUUGAUAAAGAUACAUGAAAAUUGCACAGAAUGUGGAUCACAGGUUUGUAACUUCGAUCACCAAUUACCAAAUAAUUCCAGAGAUUUACCUGUGAACUGACACUAUUAAGAUCUUCUUUAAGGUAUGUCUAAAUGGAGAAAUUCCACCAAUGUGGUGAUGGAAGAAUUAAAUUUGUGAUUCUUGCUAGACUUAUCAAGUUCCAAAUCUAAAAGUGCUCCAAAACAUUCUGGUGCCACUGCAAAAAUUAAGCUUGAGCCUAAGCCAAUGCAAAGGAAUCUUCCUGACUCUGUAUAUUGGCUUGACUAUAGAAAGGGCAAAUGGCCCAAUUGUAAAAUUCCUGGCUACACCCAGAGUUGUUAAAUUUCAGCAAAAAUAUAUAACAUUUUGUGGAAUUUUUAUAUUCCCACUGUUUGGUAAGGUCUAAAUAAAGCCUUUGAAGCUUCAUUUACUCAUUUUAAAUGCAGGUGUUCAAACUGGAACACAUACAUUCACCAAAACAAGGCACAGCACAAAUAGUAAAGAAGGCGAUGUGGUGGAAGACGGCAUACAUCAAUAGGAAAACAGUUAACCAAGAUUUAGUUCAUACAUAUUUAAUUGAACAUGUAUUUAAGCCAAGUAUUCUUUCCCAUAUCUUUGCAUACAUACUUCUAUGUCUCUUUCUGUAUAGCGAACUUUUCAGUCCUCUCGUUUUCCCAUGUUUUUAUACACUCAUGAUUUUUUUUUUGUACUGCUUAGACCUGACCUCUCUUAUUUUUUCCCUGACUGUAUUCACAUCUGGCUUUUAUCAUUUUGUUUGUCUGGCUAACUGCAAAGCAAUACCCUCCAAUCUUGCUAGUCUAUCAGCAGUGUGAAAAUACCACGAAAUGUAAACCACCAGCAAAUGUGUGAACUACCAGAAAGCUGCUAUUUGCAGAGUGGUGAAUUACAGAGAGCGUAAGAAAAGCAGCAAAAAUGUUUUGUUGUUAACACUGUCACUUCUUCCCCUUCCCCCCCCCCCCUUUUUUCUUUUUUGCCAUGGAUUUUGUAAUGGGUAAGAUUUACUUAAAAAUAACAAUGAAUUGCAUGAACACCUUGAAAUUAACAGUAGUUAAAUAUUGACAUUAAUUUCAAUAUUUUAAAAAUCAGGUUUUGCAGAAUAUAUCUUUGUAUAUUGUUCCUGAUAUUUGGCAGACUGCUCUUGGCAAAUGCUCCUGUAGUGCCUCAGUCACAUCAACGCACAGAUUGCUGUGUUGCCAUAAAACUAAUUUCAUUUGCAAUUUCCACAUGGGGAGAGGAAAUUGCAAUUAAGUGACUGAAGCAUGAAUGUGUUUCGUUCUGCUGCAUCUGCGGUCAGGAUGAUUGUCUGUAUCGAAGUGAUGGUACAGACACGUGGGUCAGUGUCAUUUGAAAUUUCUUCACCAAGAUUCAGCAAGUCUGUUAAUCCAUGUUUAAAAAUAUGACUAUAAAAUAACAUUAAUAUAUUAUAUUUAAUACUUAUUAUCUCUCUUCUGCUGCUCAGAGGGCUAACUGGC